rnacentral:sRNA from 1 species
AGUCCAUCUGGUAGUAAUGAGACUCCUGAGUGUCUUCAUGUCCCGCACCAAAUCUGGAUCCAAGUCUUCCAUAUGUGAGUCAUCUUCCCUCAUCUCCAGUGCCACAGCAGCAGCUCUACUGAGCUCUGGGGCGGUGGACUACUGCCUGCACGUGCUGAAAUCACUGCUGGAAUAUUGGAAGAGCCAACAGAAUGAUGAGGAGCCUGUGGCUACCAGCCAGUUGCUGAAACCACAUACUACCUCCUCCCCACCUGACAUGAGCCCAUUCUUUCUCCGCCAGUAUGUGAAGGCCAAAAAGUUCUGGAGGACCCAGCCACCUGCUUGACUCUAGCUUUGUCACCUAUAACACCCUACACGCAGCCCUGCCAGCCUGCACAUUUCCCAAGGGUCAUGCUGCUGAUGUGUUUGAGGCCUAUACUCAGCUUCUAACAGAAAUGGUACUGAGGCUUCCAUACCAAAUCAAAAAGAUUGCUGACACCAAUUCUCGAAUCCCACCUCCUGUCUUUGACCAUUCGUGGUUUUACUUUCUCUCCGAGGUAAGUGAAAGUCCCAAGCGGCAUGCUUGUUGGGCUGAGGACACAUCUGCAUUCGCCUCUGUGG